CUGAGAAAUUCCUGGACACAGCAUCCAAAGGAGCCAGCAGCACCAAAGGCAGAGAUCGCCUCUUCGCCACUAGAAAAGAGAUCCGUGCCUGCCUGAGCGUUUGUGCCUGCCUGAGACUUCUCCCCCGCCUCGCCUGGCCUGGAUACAGAAAGAGCCCAGCUCCAAAGGACUGCUUCACCCAUUAACACCUUUUGUGCAGACCUGAAUACCUCUUAACGACCCUUAACGACGGCAUCAGGAGAAAGCGAGAGCACAGGCCGCUGGACCAAGUCAGCCUGACUAGUCUGCAAGAAUGAACUAUAAAAAUUGAGCUUGCUCUCGUUCAUCUCAUGUGGCUACAAACUGUACUGCUAUUUGGAAUAAAGAAAUGCAGUUAUUAAUUGCUGAAGUGGCAUCCCCAUCUUGUUACCUUUGGAAGGAAGGAUGAGAAAUUCCUGUUUAAGCAAGUCAGAAAGAUUCAGUGAAAAUAAGCAGAGAUGAACACCACAGAAUUAUGACAAAUGAAAUACAGCUAUUUUAAAUAAUGAGAUUUGAGCCAGACAAUGACACCUGUGCUGUUGCCGAGUGUUACAUAAGCGUGGACAUUUGAAAACAAAAUUCACAGGUUUUUCUCAUCCUAAAUCUGUGAAUUACCUGUGCUCAUUUUCUGUUACCAUGUUUACAGAAUCAGAAUUCCUUAAUUUCUGACAUGGAUUCCAGUGGUGAUGUACUGAAAUAUUGUUUUUAGAGAAAUGAAAAUUUCAGCUUAGAGAACAAGAUUGUAUGAUCAGCUACGACUUGAAAUUAAAUCAGCAUUUGUAAUGGUAGAACAAAAUGUAAUGAUGAUUAGGAUGCACAAAGGGGGACUAGUAGAUUUGAGAAACAAUUUAGUCUUUUUUACCAGACUGUGGAUCCAAUGGCCUGGCACAUCAGAGUCACAUGUGUGUAGGGAUCUAGCACAUAGUGAUGCACAGCUCCUUAAUAAGGAAAUAAUAUCUGGAUUAAUACUGGUUCUGUGCUCUCAAAAGUUUAGUGCCAACACCUGUAUGAAUUCUGUGGCAUACAAUUCAGAAGUGCCUUUGGUCACCUACAGAGUGAAAAACCCAUCUUCACUGUUUUUCAGUGUUCCUUGUUUGUCUCCCUUAUCUACAAUGGCUCUGUCUGUCAUAUUAGUUUUCUCCUACCACUGCUAAUGCUGCCUACCAUCCCACAGGCAGCUGUCUAAAGGAAAUUUUGGUCAAGUAAUCUUUGUUGGAAAAUUCAUUGACUAAGAAAUCUGUCAGGCAUUGUAACCUUAUUGUGGUAUCUCAAGCCUACAACUAUACAAACAUUGACAUUCUGGCUUGAUGUAUUACUAAACAGUAUUCUGGUUUAGCUGUUCAAAUGCUGUAAUAUCCAGUGAUAAAUCUACAUCCUUUUAGUGACUUAGAUAAAUAUUUUCUUCUUUUGCAUUCAUUAAAAAUUAAAGUUGUCUGUUUCAUAGGUCUGUAUCUCUUGAGAAAGUAUUUGAACUGCAGGCCAAAUACAAUGUCAUCACAGUAAAAUGCAUUCUCUAUUAGCUAUGUCAAAUGAAGUA